AUUUUCCUAGUAUAAUCUAGUACGGCUGACUUCCAAUCACCUAGUCUCAGUUUUAACCUGGGGGAAAAUA
rnacentral:tRNA from 1 species